rnacentral:lncRNA from 1 species
AGAAAAAAUGUCUAAUAGUACUUUUACAUUUUCUAAUUAGCUCAAGGACAACAGAGGGAAGGACAUGAGCAGAAGUAGUAACCAUGGCAAUGGUGAGCCAUUUCCGACCAAAAGAACUCUACACCCAGAAUCCGUAGCCAGCAUGAUGAGUUCAGAGACCUGGCCCCUCCCCUGGGAGUAGCACAUUCAGUCAGAGAGGUUUAGGU